CCAUAUAGAGAGAGAGUUGUGACAACUCCAUUGACUCCAAUGGAACGCUUUUUUUACAGCAAUGGCGGCUUGUGGAGCCUCUCAAUAGUUCCCGGAAGUAGCAGUAAACCGAUGCCGCGCCGUAGAGAUGCAGCAGAACAAACCGUUUGCGACGCACUUUUAAUAGGUAAGACGAUUAAUGGUUCUUCACCACAGGACUGUUCUGUGAUGGAGCAUCAGUAAUGAUGCAGGUCAGGAGUACUGAGGGGACCAUGGUGAGAAUGAAAACAAAAGCCUCAAUCCUCAACCUCAGCCGUAUAAAUCUUUUGGAGAUUUUUCCUUCUACUCCACAGCAUGAUGGAAGCCUGCUGGAGAGUGACUGAGCUUCUUUCUCCAACACAUCCACUGCAUUGGGGAGCUCCAUGAGGUAGGAACUACUCUUGGACCUAAAUAGUUUCUCAAUUUGUUGGGUGAAGUCAUAGGCUUCUUGGGAGGGACGACAAAGAGCACCUGCCUUGAAUUCUUUUAAGUUUAGUAAGAUACUGUUAUUUCCAGCAGGAUUGUCAUCAGUUUGCCGUGUUGCAGUUUUGCAUUUUCCACAGAUGCUGGCAAAUCUGAUUAAUUUGUGGACAAUGUAGCCUGCGAGAUGGAAGAGAAUACAUUUCUCUGUUUUUGUGAGGUCAGGUGCUGUUUUGUUCUCCACCAUCAGCUGUUCCACUCUGACUGAUGGAGUGACGUUUUGUUUCACUGUUUCCAGGAAGUCUGCCAAAAAGCUACUGUCAUCGUCCUGGUAGCUCCCAGACGUGAUGGUGGUGAGGAACUGCCCUACUGAUAUGAUUCUCAGUGCAUGAUGGAAUUCCACUGGAGUUGACUUCCAAACUCCCUUAUGACCAAUCUUCAUCCCAUAGAAUAGAUGGAUGAUAUCCUGUAGGAAGAUUAUGGCCUUUUCAUACUCCUCUAUCUUGACCCUGCUCAGUGUUGUAAUUGGAUGGCGAGAUGACAUAAGAUCAAAGCAAUGAUCCACUUGCUCCAGGAACCACGCUGUAGUCAGGUAGGAGAGAGGGCGGUUUUCUUGCUGCACCAUAUACUUCAGUCCAGCACUUGUUGCCUUACUAAAUACAUUAAGAGCAGGACCAACCUUCAUUUUUUCAAAGUGGCUUGGCUCAAUGGCUGCAGCUGAUAGAUGGGGAGCUACUUUUAAUGCCAUCCCUUCUUGAAAGGACAAUAAGUCCUUAAUAGGGACCACUGAAACCUCAUUGGAAGGUAGGUUCUCUUUGUUAACCACAUUCUUUGGAAUUGUUAACACCUGUCCACGGACAAGGGCACUUUUUAGAUUUUUCACCAGAUGUGGGACAUCAGGCAUGAAAUGGAGACACCUAUUCGGUGUCGUUGGAUGCGGCACAGAUGUUUUGGUGUGGUCGACCCCAAAGGAUUUCCACAUGGCCUGGUUAGGGCUACCCAUAUCGGUGGUGACAGCAAGCACAUGUAGCCCUAUGGAUGCUGCCCUCUCUAUUAAUUCUGUAAUUAUUGGCUUGUAUUCUGAUCCAUUGGUAGAAUUGCCACUGUAAUGAUAUCCCACUACUUGUUUCCAGCGAGUUGUGUUUCCAGCCAACAUAAACACACAAGCAUGUGUUGCUACUCCUGUGUGACCUGGCAAAGUGACAUCACCAUAGAGUUUGCCUGUCAGCAUGUGCAGCUCAACACUUGGAGUGAUUGCCAUUUCAUCCAAGGACAGCACACACUCCCUUUCAAGGGUUCUGAUCGCUGGCAAGGGAAUUUGCAAUUCCUGUAGGGUCUUGUAACCAGUUGGACCGGCUGCAAAGCGAAUUUUCAAUGCCUUCUUAAUUGUUUCAUUGCUCCAUUUCAUACCUUUUGUGGUUCGUCUUCCUAAUGCCAUAAUUUGGUCUUUUUACAAAAAUUUCUUUAAAAUGUUGUCCCUAAUUUUAAUUCUUUUUUUGAGAGCUGCAUUUUCAUUCAUUAUUUUUCUUAGUGCUGCCUUUGCAUUUUUUGAUAUUUUUUCUUGUCUCUUCAAUUUUUUUAAUAGACCCAGGUAACUGACUGAUGGUUCACUGGAAUGCUGACUGACUUGCUGCAUGCUGACUGAGUAGUGUCACCUGUCCCUGUCUGUCCUCUCUAGCAAUGUCCUCUAUUUCUUCACUGUCACUUUCCCUUCUCUGAGUGUCCUCAUUCUUUUUUUCCUCAACCUUUGAAACUGAUAGAGGCAGAAUACAUUGUAUUGCUAAUUUUAAAUAUUGAAAAUAUCACAUCACUUCAAAAUUAGAAAUAUUACUUCAACUAGUAUGAGUUUGUACUUAUUAUAUAUAUAUAUAUCACCUGUAAUACUAUAGCUGUGAUCAACAUUGAUUUGCUGUAUGUCUACAGGUCUAAGGGUGCAUCGUGGAGCAGGGGCACUCCUCUUUUUGACCACAGGACGAUGCACAAAGAUUGUGGGAAUAGCAUCUGGUCUCAGCCUACUCUUGAAUUUUUUGGUCAUGACAAAUUGGUUUGCCUCAAAAUGUGCCUGCAGAGUAACUUGAGUUUAGUUUCCACACAAAACUUUUUUUUUUUUGUCUACCCACAUAUACUGUACAUAUCACAUGGUGGUUAAAUGCACAGUUAUAGGUAACACUAAUGACUCCCUCCAAUGUCUCACCAAGUCUCAUCUCCCUGGGUUUUGCAAGGCUUUGCUUGUUCCUUAUUUCCAGUAAAUAAUUUUCCAUGUAAAAAGUGCAAAUAAAUUUAAGUAUAAUUACCUCACAAAUUUUUUUGUUGUUGUAAUUUUUAUUUAGAUUUAGAUUGCUCCUGCUGACUUGAGCCAACCAUUUUUUUCUCCUCUCCAUGUCAGCGGGGAAGCCAUACAUUCGCACACCUUUCUCUGACUGAGUAUCCCCAUGCAGCACAGCAAACCAUGUUGGAGACUAUGCAAGGACAACAUGAAAGAAAGGACACAUACAAAAUGCUUGGCAUGCUAUUAAAUUUAUUAGGAAUGUAUUCAUGAAUUCCUUUAAAUAGUUAAUUGCAUUUAUUUGAAUAAAAAUACAAAGAAAAAGUAAUCUCAUAAUAUAUAAUUACAAUUUAAAAUAACUGUUUUCUAUUUUAAAAUGUAAUUUACUCCUGUGAUGCCAAGCUAAAUUUUCAGCAUCAUUACUUUUGAAUGGCAGUGUACAUGUUUAUAUAUGAGUAUGCUUAAGUUGUUUUAAACCUGAAUAUAUUGUGUAUAUGAAUAAGUAUUGUAAGAAUUAUACAUUAGAUAAAUAAUAUCUAUAAUACACAAUUAUAUUACUAUAUGUAAUUGUAUGAAUUGUAAACAAUAAGCUUCAUUUUACAUUUACUUAACAUGCUAAUUACUGCUGCUUAUAGUUAAUUCACCCAUUGUGCGGUGUGAGCUGAAAAUCACCUGUCACCAGCCUGUCUCUGUACUAUCUGAAAGUCAUAAAGUCAUCAAUAUGACAUUAGUUAACAUGAGAUCAGUGAAAAAAAGAAUAAUGUGUAACAUAAAAAGGCAACAGCAACCCGUGUUUAUACAACUUAACGUUAGCCUGAAAUGAGUUUUUAAAAUAA